AUACGGAGGGGGCUAGCGUUGUUCGGAAUUACUGGGCGUAAAGCGCGCGUAGGCGGAUUGGUCAGUUGGGGGUGAAAUCCCGAGGCUUAACCUCGGAACUGCCUUCAAAACUGCCAGUCUUGAGUCCGGGAGAGGUGAGUGGAAUUCCUAGUGUAGAGGUGAAAUUCGUAGAUAUUAGGAAGAACACCAGUGGCGAAGGCGGCUCACUGGCCCGGUACUGACGCUGAGGCGCGAAAGCGUGGGGAGCAAACAGGAUUAGAAACCCGAGUAGUCC
rnacentral:rRNA from 1 species